rnacentral:rRNA from 1 species
UGGGGAAUAUUGGACAAUGGGCGCAAGCCUGAUCCAGCCAUGCCGCGUGAGUGAUGAAGGCCCUAGGGUUGUAAAGCUCUUUCACCGGUGAAGAUGAUGACGGUAACCGGAGAAGAAGCCCCGGCUAACUUCGUGCCAGCAGCCGCGGUAAUACGAAGGGGGCUAGCGUUGUUCGGAUUUACUGGGCGUAAAGCGCACGUAGGCGGACUUUUAAGUCAGGGGUGAAAUCCCGGGGCUCAACCCCGGAACUGCCUUUGAUACUGGAAGUCUUGAGUAUGGUAGAGGUGAGUGGAAUUCCGAGUGUAGAGGUGAAAUUCGUAGAUAUUCGGAGGAACACCAGUGGCGAAGGCGGCUCACUGGACCAUUACUGACGCUGAGGUGCGAAAGCGUGGGGAGCAAACAGG